rnacentral:rRNA from 1 species
UACGUAGGGUGCGAGCGUUGUCCGGAAUUAUUGGGCGUAAAGAGCUCGUAGGCGGUUUGUUGCGUCUAUCGUGAAAACCUGCAGCUUAACUGUGGGCUUGCGGUGGAUACGGGCAGACUUGAGUUCGGUAGGGGAGACUGGAAUUCCUGGUGUAGCGGUGAAAAUGCGCAGAUAUCAGGAGGAACACCGGUGGCGAAGGCGGGGUCUCUGGGGCCGAUACUGACGCUGAGGAGCGAAAAGCGUGGGGGAGCGAACAGG